GUGGGAUCCCCCAGAUCCAGGUCCAGAUCGCCCCAAUUCAGCCCCAGAUCCCAUGGAGGGUGCAGGUGGGAUCCCCCAGAUCCAGAUCCCAAGGGAGGCGUAGGUGGGACCCCCUGAUCCCAGAUCCAGAUCCCCCAAUCCAGCCCCAGAUCCCAAGGGAGGUGCAGGUGGGAUCCCCCCGAUCCAUAUCCCAGAUCCAGAUCGCCCCAAUCCGGCCCCAGAUCCCAAGGGAGGCGCAGGUGGGACCCCCUGAUCCCAGAUCCAGAUCCCCCAGUGCAGCCCCAGAUCCCAGGGGAGGCGCAGGUGGGAUCCCCCGAUCCCAGAUCCAGAUCGCCCCAAUCCAGCCCCAGAUCCCAGGGGAGGCGCAGCUGGGCCCCGCCCGCCUGGGGCACGGGGCUCACCUGGAUCUCGCCCAGGUGAGCUCCCAGCAGGAAAAGCAGAGCUGGAGCAGACGGAGAGCAAAGCCAAACUCUUGAAACACACGGACUCGGGAUGGGGGGCAGGGGGGCAGUUCCUGGGGGCGGGAUGUGGGGUUUUGCCCCGGGCAGGGCCGGGAUGGACGGAUGGAGCCCGUCAGGAGCCCGGGCAGGUGGGACGGGGAUCAGUGCAGCCGAGGGCAGGAGCCAUAAAGUGCAGCGAAGCUUCCGGGGCUCCGGGGUUCCUGGGGGGCUCCAGUGUCCAGGGGGGGACAUGGGGACACCGUGACACCGGGGGGGACAUGGGGACACCGGGGGGGACGCGGCUCAGGAAGGACCAGCGGCGCCGGGACAGGGACGGGUCCUUUCCCGGUUCUGUUCCUGGCUCCAUUCCCGGUGCCAUUGCUGGUUUGGUUGCCAGUCCUGGUUCCGUUCCUGGUUCCUUUGCUGGUGCCAGUUCUGGUUCUGUUCCUGGUUCUGGUUCCUUUGCUGGUGCCGGUUCUGCUCCUGGUUCUAUUCCCGGUUCUGAUUCUGGUCCUGGUUCCUUUCCUGGUGUCGGCGCUGCUCCUGGUUUCAUUCCUGGUUCCGUUCCUGGUUCCUUUCCUAGUGCUGGUUCUACUCCUGGUUCCAUUCCCAGUGCUGGUUACAUUCCUGGUUCCGUUCCCAGUUCUGUUCCCAGUCCUGGUUCCUUUCCCAAUCCCAGUUCUGUUCCCAGUCCCGGUUCCAGUCCUGGUUUUGUUCCCAGGCCCGGUUCCAGUCCUGGUUCUGUUCCCAGUGCUGGUUCCGUUCCCGUUGCCGGUUCCGUUCCCGGUGUCUCGGAUCCCGCCGGGAAUCUCACAUGCACAUCACCUGCGGCCUGCAAUGAGGACAGGGAGGGUCACCUGCCUCUCCUGCGGCCACGCCCCCUGCCCCGCCCUGCCCGUGGCCACGCCCCCUGCCCCGCCCUGCCCACCUGUCCUCCUCGAUGCCGCCGCCCUCGGGGUCGCCGCUGUCGCCCUUCUCGGCGUCGCCCUCGCCCAGGUCCAUGUCCAGCUCGGUCCCGGUGUCCGGCCGGGUGUAGGCGUAGCCACUGUGGGAGGGAAGGGACAGAAUUCCAGGGAAUCCCCUCGGGAAUGGCCCCUGGAAUUCCAGGGAAUCCCCUCGGGAAUGGCUCUUGGAAUUUCAGGGAAUCCCCUUGGGAAUGGCCCCUGGAAUUCCAGGGAAUCCCCUCGGGAAUGGCCCCUGGAACUCUGGGAAACCUCUUGGGAAUGGCUCUUGGAACUCUGGGAAACCUGUUGGGAACGGCCCCUGGAAUUUCAGAGAAUCCCCCCAGAAGGGUCCCUGGAAUUCCGGGGAAUCCCUCUCAAGAAUAUUCCAGGGCAUCCUCUCAGGAAUGGCCCCUGGAAUUCUGGGGAACUCCCUUGGGAAUCCCCCAUAGAAUCAUGGGAAAUCCCAUCGGGAACCUCCGCCCUGCCUCCCCCAGAACUGUGGGAAAUUCCCUCAGGAAUGGCCCCUGGAAUUACAGGAAUCCCCUUGGGAAUGGCCCCUGGAAUUCUGAGGAAUCCCCUUGGGAAUGGCUCCUGAAAUUUUGGGGAAUAUCCUUGGGAAUGGUUCCUGGAAUUCCGGGGAACCCCCUACAGGGAAUUGCAGGGAAUCUCCUUGGGAAUAGACCCUGGAAUCCCCCUGGGAAUGGCCCUCAGAAUUCCAGGGAAUCCCCUCGGGAACAUCCCCUGGAAUUCUGGGAAUCCCCAUGGGAAUGCCCCCCCGGAAUUUCAGGGAAUCCCCAUGGGAAUGUCCCUCGGAAUUUCGGGGAAUCCCCAUGGGAAUGCCCCCCCGGAAUUCCGGGAAUCCCCUGGGAGAUGUCCCCCCCGACCUGA
ensembl:lncRNA